UACGGAGGGUCCGAGCGUUAUCCGGAAUCAUUGGGUUUAAAGGGUCCGCAGGCGGUCAAUUAAGUCAGAGGUGAAAUCCCAUCGCUUAACGAUGGAACUGCCUUUGAUACUGGUUGACUUGAGUUAUACGGAAGUAGAUAGAAUAAGUAGUGUAGCGGUGAAAUGCAUAGAGAUUACUUAGAAUACCGAUUGCGAAGGCAGUCUACUACGUAUAUACUUACGCUCAUGGACGAAAGCGUGGGGAGCGAACAGG
rnacentral:rRNA from 1 species